GGGCCGGUAGCUCAGACUGGAAGAGCAUCCGCUUGGCAUGCGGGGGGUCGCGGGUUCAAAUCCCGCCCGGUCCACCA
rnacentral:tRNA from 1 species